rnacentral:rRNA from 1 species
AAUGAACGCUGGCGGCGUGCCUAAUACAUGCAAGUCGAGCGAACAGACGAGGCGCGUGCUCCUAUGACGCUACGGGCGGGCGGGUAAUUAACAGGUAGAUUACCUAUCUUUAGGGCUUGGGUAAGUUAACGGGACCGGAGCUCAUACACGACAAGAUAUUGAACGGGAGGGUUCUAUAGAGCAAACCGGUUUAGCUGACCCUAAUAGAUUUAUCCGCGCUGCUUUAGCUAGUGGGUAGCGUGACGGCGUACCAAGGCAACGAUGCGCAGCCGGCCUGAGAGGGGGACCAGCCACACUCGAACUGAGACACGGUCCAGACUCCUACGGGAGGCAGCAGUAGGGAAUAUUCCGCAAUGGGCGAAAGCCUGAUGGAGCAAGGCCGCGUGUGUGAUGAAGGUCUUCGGAUCGUAAAACUCUUUUAUUAGGGAAGAACAGAAGUAAAUGAAACUAUGCCAGUCUUGACGGUAACUAAUGAGAAAGCACCGGCUAACUUCGUG